CUCUUUUUUUCCAUCAUCGAACACACUUUAUCAAGUUAUUUUACCUAGCGAGAGGUAUGAGUUCGGUGCUGAAAUUCAGAUUGACCUGUUCAACUGACUCUGCACUACUGUUAGGUUUUGUUCGAGCUGCUUCGGUUGCUAAGGUCUCCUUUAGUUCAAACACUAUCACACUCAUAAUUGGUCUUUGGUUGGGACGUAGAGAAACACAAGCCAUUGCUAUUUCCACGGCUUUCCAGGCUGAGUUAAUGUCAAAAUCUCCUUCUAACCUUGAGUCAACAAUGGCCUUGAUAUCCCCUAUUGCAACCAGGGAUCUAACCCAUUCAAUUAUGUGACUCCUUUCUUCGUUCCUUGCUAUUACUUGCUGGCCUGUGAUUAUUUCCAGAAGAACCACUCCAAAGCUAUAAACAUCACUUUUCUCUGUUAAUCUAUUGUUUGUGUAAUAGCUGCAAUGAAAAAUGCAAGACAUAUCAUGAAACUCAAUAUAUUUUCUGCCAGUGUAUGGUGAUAUCUCAAAAUCUCAGAAAUUAAUGGAUGAACAGUAAUUCAAGUUCUUACUCAGGGUCCAGGUAACCAGGAGUUCCAGCGACAACAGUUGACAAAUGUGAUCCCCCAUCAUCUGGGAUAAUUUUGGAUAGACCAAAAUCAGAUAAUUUCGCUUGGAAGUGUUCAUUCAACAAGAUGUUUGAAGAUUUUACGUCUCGGUGUAUUAUAGGUGGCUUGCAACCAUUUUGCAGAUACUCCAAUCCUAUAUUAGAUUUAUGGAAAAUACAUUAACAAAACUGUCAAAAUGCAUAAUCUGAAGUUUGCUUUCUUACCCAAGGCUGCGUCCAAUGCUAUACGCAGUCUGUCUUCCCAGCUCAAGAAUUUUGAUUUACUGUGUGUACCUGCAAAGAACAAACUCAGUAACUUUCAUACAAUUUGUACAGUUGAGCAAUAUGAAAAUUUCCAUAUCCAGCAUUUUGGAAUACAAAACUAACUAGGAAAUUGAUUUGCACAAACUUUUAACAAGAACUUCAUUUUAUUUGGGAACUGACCAGAGAGAUGUUCCAGUAAGUUUCCAUUGGCCAUGUACUCAUAUAUGAGACUCUUAUUGUUUCCUUCAUCACAAUAACCAAUAAGGGAAGUCAGAUUUUUAUGAUGAACUCUCAGUAGAAGUGUAACCUGAAAAUCAAACCACUACCAUGUUUAGCCAUAUACACUUAUUAAUCAGCUCAAAAAAGUGCAAAGCGAUUAAAACUUACCUCUGCUUGAAAUUGUUCAUAACCACGGAAUGAUGAAGGGGAAAGAAUUUUGACAGCAACUGGAGUGUCAUAAAUAUAGCCCAGAUAAACUGUUCCAAAUCCUCCCCUACCAACAAUUGUAUUGAAAUUGUUGGUAAUUUUACAGAUGUCGGAGUGUGAACAUAUUUGUUUUUUAGACUGCUGUAAUGAACCCUCUUGUUUUGUGUGCUGCUCGGAUAUCUCACUUUGAUCCUUUUCUACCAUCGAAGCUGUUUGAUAUUGUACAAUAGUUUGGAAACUGACAGUUAAGAUUGAAUUUGUUUGGCAAAUUUUGAAAAAGUUAUGAAUGAUUUUAUCAUUGUAGCAUCACCUUUUGAUUUUCUCCUCCUAAGGAUCCACAAUAUAGCUGCCACGGCCACCAGAAGGAUCAAAACCCCGCAGAUUGAUGCUACCAAGGGUAUAACAAUGUUAUCUCUGUGCUCUAUGCAUUUGCCAUGUUCACAGAUAAAUGGAUUUUGACCCAAACUGCAUGGAAAUCACAGAAGAUUUAUGUUCAAAAGUUUAAGCAACCUUGUAAGUAGAGGGAAAAUUAAUCAUGUCAAGACUGGCUCUGAUAAAUCUGAGUUUGGUCACCCUUAAAAACAUAAUAUCUAAUUUUAAUCUAUGACUUCACCAAGUGUUUUUUUAAAGGUCGGAUUAGAUUCAUAUAAAAGUUUGGUUUGAUCAAUGAGCACAUUUAAAAGUUUAUUUCAUUUUUUUUAUCAGAAAAAAACGAAUGAAUAAACAAGAAAAAUUUCAGAAUACCUCAAUCCUUAGUUGAUACCCUCUAUCCUCCUUACAACAAUUGAAUAACCUAAAUGCAAACACUUUUUACUCAUCAUAAAUAUCUUUUAGAAAAGUUUAUUUCAUUUAGGACUUCCAAAAGAUUAUUGAGUUUAUUAAAUUAAAUACAAACGAAUAAUCUCUCUUUCAAACACGUAUCGUGGUUACUUUAAGCAACAUGUUAUGAAUUUGAGUAGUUUAAGUAAGAUUCAUAUACCUUAGGGUGAGAGAACCUUCCUUAGAUUUUUCAACAAGUGCCGAGGGAAUUGAACCGAAGAGGUUAUUCUUCUCCAAGUUUCUGCCAAAAAUACGAAUAAAUAAUCUUUUAGUCUUUUCUGGUACAGUGGAUAACAUAGUUUUAAGUAAUUGAGAACUUACAAGAUCCUCAAGUGUUGUAAUUGAGACAGAAAAUCAGGAAUCUCAUCGUUUAAGCUAUUAUUCGAUAAAUCCCUACAAAUUUAACAAACAAUUUAGCCUUUUUAAGUAUGUUUAAAUCUUGACUCAUGUGACAAAAGAUAUGUCGAUAUGUCGAUUCUUCGCACAUAAUAAGUACAUGCGAAAGAACAAAAAGAAUUAAAACAGGAAAUUUUUCUGGUCUCAUGUAUUUCUGGAUGGGAUGAAAUAAAAAAAAAACAAAAAAACUCACAGCUUCUCCAACAUGGUGAGCUUUGAGAUUGAAGGGUCUAUCUUUCCUGACAAUCCACUUGAAGAUAAAUUCCUGUCUUGCUCAAUGAAUAGUUAUAUUUAUAUACAAUAUUAUCUCAGUUUAUGAAGCAAUAAUAGAAAUUUGGCCAACAAAACUUACAGAGUUGUGAUUCUUGGGAACUCAUCGUCGCCAUAAGUACAGUUGAGACCAUCCCACAAGUAGUCUGUAGGGGCGCAUGGAUCACCUUGCCAAUCUCUUUUCACUCCAUAAACUGACUUGAUGCUUGUAAUCGCAUCAACUUUUUUUCAAUGCAAAAGAUGGGUUGAAGGUAGUUAAGGUCAUGUACAAUAGUGAAAACCAAAUAAUUGGAUUUAAAAAAUGAAAAAUACCAUCUCCUUGGAGUGUUUGAGGUUUCUGUAAGUCUAUUACUCUGUAAAUUUCAAGGGCACUGAUGAUGGGAGGCAGGGUUGAAUUUCCGGUCCUCACGAGGGAAUAUUUAAUUUCUUUUCCACUGACUGCUGAAGAGGUAUUUAAAGUGUCGACGACCAGGUAUCGUGGAGAAAAAUUUGGAAUCCAUAAUUCACCGUUCCUCAUGAUGUUGAAUUGUCUUGUCUGAUUGGUGGUUAACUCUUGAAUCUCUGUGAAGUGCAUGUAAAAAUAUAAUUCAUCAGUUUCAUGCUCUGGAUUCCACCUUAUUAGCAACGGAGCACUAUCAUUUGGCGGUCUAACUGCGGUGCUCAUGAUAAUAGCUCUCAGAUGGUAAUCGCCCUGAUUGAAAGAAUCGUCUGGAAUCGAAGCACUUAGGUUUGUCCAAUCUUCCUUGAAGUCCCAGGGAUACCAGAAACGAUCAUAGUCAUCAUUCGGGUACCUGUGAGAAAAUCAGAAUAAAUCCAAUAAUGAAUGAAUCAAUUAAUCUUAUAAGGCAACAGAUUUGAUCCAUAAGUAUGAUUUCACCUGUAGGCUAUGUCUGAACCCAAAUCGUAACGCUUAAUUAGUUUCAGUGAUCCAUAUUGAGUGACGUAUGUAUGAUUUUUCAAAGUCCUGAAUUCUAUGGUUGUUAUAAAUGGUGUGCCAUCGCCUGUGUCAACCAGACAGAUUUGUACAUAAUCCAGUGAAGGUACAUGUAUGAUCUCCUCGAAUUGGGGACUGGAUUCAUCUUUUAUAUCAACUGUAGCCCACUUGUUAGUUCCCAGAAGAAGACCAAACUGUGGUAAAAAAUUUUGGUCAUCAUAAUUUCCAUACAGAAAAAGAGUGCGGAUGAGAUACUUAGAGCCUCUUUCGGCGCUUAUUUUGAAGCAGUUCCUUUUUCCUUCUGGGAAGCUUCUCAGCAUCCACAGUUCUCGUUGUUGUUGAUUCUGUCCUCUGAUCUCAGGUGUUAUUGUCAAUCUCACACCAGUAUUUAUGAAAUUUGCAUCCGAAACGUAAUUUAUGCCUCGUAGGUCAUUAUAGUUGACAUCUGCUUCAGCUCCGCAAUCUAUGCUGAUGAAUCCUAAAACAUAAAAUUGUAUAUAUUACUUUAAAGUUGUUACAAAUUUUGAAUAAAAUUACACAUUAUUAAAGAUAGAAUAUUCCUAGAAAAGAUAUUUUUUUUUAUCCAGAUCAUACUGCUGCAAGUUUAGUUCAAAAACAUGUGAGAUAUGAGUAAGUCACUAUUUGCAUUUGUGUUCUUAAAUUGUUAUAAUUGUACUUCUUACAGGAAACAACUAGUGAUGCAGGUGGCAAGAGAGAAACUAAGUAAGGCUAGGAAGAUACUUUCGACUAGUGCAACCAGUAAAUAAUGAUAUAAUGAAGUUGUUUGAGAAAAGAAAUGGUUGGUGUUUGGUGUAACGAACCUGGUUGAGCAUGAGCUUGAAGAAGUAGAACAGCUAAAAUAGCAACGUAGAAACUGAUCCACAUUGACUCAGAGGAGCUAGUCAACGUGUGAGCUUUUGAGGUAAUUACAAACACUUUUUAGCUUUAAUUUCUGUUUCCGUGUUUAACUCUGCAAUCUGCAUCAUACAAAUAAUACUACUUAAUUCACCCAUCAAUCAAACCUGACUUCAAAUAAAAUCUGUAUUUUAAUUUUUUUAAAAACAGCUAGCAUAAAAGGCUGAAUAUUAUCACAAAAACUACAAUGAUUGCUAUAUGCUAAAAAAAAGAGAAAAAAUAUGCAUACAAAAAAUAGCAGCAUCACUGAGGAAUAAUCUUUUUAAUUGGUUAAUGACCAUGUAUAAAAAUUAGUAUAUAUAUCCAACUAUAUUAACAUACUGAUANNNNNNNNNNNNNNNNNNNNNNNNNNNNNNNNNNNNNNNNNNNNNNNNNNNNNNNNNNNNNNNNNNNNNNNNNNNNNNNNNNNNNNNNNNNNNNNNNNNNCAGAACAUAUAUAUAUAUAUAUAUAUAUAUAUAUAUAUAUAUCGGAAGUUAUGAAUCAACAUAAGGUACAAAUAGAAAGACACCGUGUAAUUGCUUGGGAAGGUGUUUCUCUGCUGCUACUGUGAUAUCUCUCCAAGGUAGGUUUUUGGUGGAUGAAUAAUGGAGAUGGAAAGUAGUUUAAUAUGGUUAUGAUGAAAAGUAUUUGACAUGGCAAGGUUUGUCCUUUACAGUACAAGACAAUGUGGAAUAGUUGCAGUGGUAGAAGCCAAUGUGGAAUAGUUGCAGUGGUAGAACCCUAAGCCAAUGACCAUUGACUUCCUCUCAAAUACAAAACAAAAACUAACCUUUCUUUCUUUCUUUCCUUCCAACCUCCACAACCACACAUCUUACCACUUAUAAUUAUUAUUGGAAAAAAACAUACUACUGACAAAUGAGAAAAUUGAGAAAGAGAUUUUUACUUGUUGUUUCUAGAAGAUGAUGUUGCUUCAUGGAGGAUUUUUUUUUUAUAAAAAAAAUAAAUUAAAUGAAGGUAUUUUAGGAAUAUCUCAACUGUUAUACAGAGCACCCCUUUCAAUUUGCCAACACUCCAAACACCACAAAAAUCCUACAAAAUAUUCCAGAAAAAACACUACCUACAUUAAUCCUAAUACUUUCACAGAACUGGGAACUAAACUAAAAAAAAAAAACCCAGAUUCCAUAAUACACAUAAAAACAACUUUACUCAUACAGCCAUUGAUGAUCUUACUUACAUUCUACCUUACCACAUAGUGCUUCAAUUGAUAUGUAUUACCGAACAAAAACCCUGCAUUUUAGAUAGUUGUUUCUAUAACUAGUUUCUACAUCUAUACCUGACUAGUGAAUUGCCUCCUGUGACCGUUGCCAUAGUUACAGGUAAGAACCCUUUCCAAAUCUACAAAGCCAUCUUCAUUCCCUCUUCCUUGCAUCCUAUGUGUACUCCACGGUUUCCAAGCAAUCAUUUGCAUAACUUUUCCCUACCCCUAUAUUUUGCAUCUGCUGUAGACUCUACUAUCUCUGCAUCUCCGCCUGCCAGCUCCUCCAUACUCCAAGAUUUUCUCUGAUAAUGCCAGUACCAGUACCAACAAAGAUUCUACCAAAAAGAGAAUUGGACAGCAACAUUCAUCCUGCAAAACAAAAAGAGUACCAGUAACAUAAAGUGAAGAUAACCAAAAAUAUAGAGCCUAAGCAUAUUCAAAAAUAAGAUAAGAUGGUUGUGCUUAAAUUUUACUGAAAGAGGAUUAGCCUGGAUUUAUAUGUCAAGGUUACGAAUUAGAAACAAAUCAAAAUUAAAGGGUAAGUAUUACAAUCGUUUUGAAAGGAUUUUGUUAAUUAAACAUUAAAAUAAAUUGAUUGUUAUUUUUAUAAGAAAGAAGUUGCUGACAAAUUUGAAUAUUUCAUUAAUCUUUGUUGAUUCUAUUCUAUUAAAAAAAAUGGAGUCCGAAAAUUUCCUCUAUUGAAGGUGCAGAGAAUAAAAACAAAGGUAAGAAACUGUGUGUGCAAAAAUGGUUAAUGGCAAACCCUACCCAUUUCCUUGGUGGGCACUAUAUAUAAAAUUAUUACCAAGGUGUUAUCUUGUCAGAUCAAGAAAGUGCUCCCAAUGGUUAUUGACGAUAGCGAUUCAGCUUUCUUGAAGGAUAGAGGAUUGCUAGAAAGUGUCCUUGUUGCUAAUGAAGUUGUUGAGGAGAUAAGGAGGCACGAGAGGAGUGGGUUAAGUCUAAAAGUGGAUUAUGAAAAGGCGUACUACUCGGUAAAGUGGAAUUUCUUAUAUGACAUGCUACACAUGUUGGGCUUCCAUUGUAAAUGGAUUAACUGGGUUAGAGGCUACUUGGAGUCUGCAUCGGUGUCAGCCCUACAGCAGAAUUUAAACCAUUUAAAGGGUUAAGGCAAGGCGUUCCCUUAGCCUCGUUCCUCUUCCUCAUAGUAGCUUAAGGCUUGGCUGGGCUAGUUAGGCAAGGGCUAAAAGGAGAAUAUGCUUAAAGGUUUGAAGGUGGGAAAGACUAAGGUUGAAUCUUGUUUGUUAAAAUUCGCGGACGACACCCUCAUCAUGUGUGAAGAUACCUUUUCGAAUGUUAUUGCUAUUAAAGUUAUUCUAAGGUGUUUUGAGAUUGUUUCUGGGAUAAAGAUCAACUUCUACAAAUCUAAUCUGGCAGGAAUAAAUGUCAAGAGGAAUACCCUUGAAUGCUUUGCAAAAACGCUAAAUUGUACACUAAUGAGGAUACCUUUCAUUUAUUUGGGUUAAGAAGUAUGAGGUAACACAAGGAAGAAGCAAUUCUAGGAGCCAAUCUUGAAUAAGAUAAGUGCUAGACUAAGUACUUGGAAGGGGCAUUUUUUGUCCUUUGCGGGAAGAAUUUCUCUUAUCAAGUAUGUGUUUUCUGCCUUACCUUUAUUUUACUUCUCUUUCUAUAAAGCUCUGGUGUCAAUGUGUAAUAGAAUUAUUAAUAUCCAGAGGAAGUUUUUAUGGGCAUGGGGAAGAGAUCACACACCAAUAUCAUGGGUUAGUUGGGAAAAUGUAUGCAAACCCAUGGAGGAAUGAGGGUUGAGGAUUAGAGAUACCAGAGCUUUUAAUAGUGCUUUGUUGGAAAAAUGGAGGUGGCGGAUGGUGAGCAAUGAACAAGGCAGGUGGACAGACAUUUUUCUUUCCAAAUACGGGUUGGAAUUAGAUUGGAGUCAAACCUCCAUGAAAUUUCAAUCACGAUGGUGGAGAGAUCUUUGUAGUGUUUGUGGAGAUGGAGAAGAAGAGGGUUGGUUCCAAAAAGCAAUUCGAUGGAAAGUUUGUUCUGGGGAUAAAGCAAGAUUUUGAGAGGAUGCUUGGGCUGGUACCGAUAACCUUGUCAACAUGUACCCUAGGCUAUACUUUUUGUCAUUGGAUCAGGGGUUGACAGUGGCAGAGGUAGGUGGGUGGGAAGAGUCUAUGUGGCAUUGGAGGUUAAGCUGGAGGAGGUGACAGAGUAAAGCACUACUAAUGUGUUGACUACCUCCUGGAGGAUUCUUUGGGAUAGAUUGCCAACAAGAACUAAUCUUAUUAGAAGAGGAGUGGAAGUGAGUUCUUUGAACUGUCACUACAAUAAAAUCAUGAAAUAGAAACCAAUUUUAGAAACAAAAAAUAAUUAGUUGUUAUAGUGACUAAAUUAGAGACCAUUUUAGAGACUAAAAAAAAUUUUGGUUUCUAAAUUAGUUUCUAUUAUUGUUAAAUGGUUUCUAAAUUGGCAUCUGCUUAGCUACCAAGGUUUUUGCUACCAAAUUUAGAAUAUAAAUAAUUGGUAGUUAAAACCUUGAUAGCUAAUUAAAUACCAAUUUAGAAACUAUUUAACAAUAAUAUAAACUAAUUUAGAAACCAAUUUUUUUUUAGUUUCUAAAAUGAUCUCUAAUUUAGUCACUAUAGCAACUAAUUAUUUUUUGUCUCUAAAAUUGGUUUAUAUUUCAUGAUUUUCUUAUAGUGUGUGUGCUUUUUCAAGCUUCAUAAGAGUCUGUUCAACACUUAUUUUUAGAAUGUACCUUUGUCCAACAUAAGGACAUGAAGCGCCACUUCGAGAGUUUUCACAUAAGUUUUAUGAGUUUCAAGCAGAAUCAGGUGUGGAAAGCUAUAUGGGCGACAAUUGUAAGGUGUAUUUGGGAGCAAAGAAAUUCUAUCUUUAAGAAAAGGGUUGCGGACUCAAAAGAAAUUUUCCUUUCGGCUCAAUUGAGAUCAUGGUUAUAGAUGAAACACAGGUACGCUCCUUCAAUUAUGCUUACUAUGAUUGGCAUUUGAAUCCUGUCAUAUGCAUUAAAAGUUGCUGUUAAAAUCUGGACGGUAGAAAGACAGGGACUCCGCAGGUUAAAACUUGGUGUGGUGUUGCUGAUGUAUUUAAGAUGGGGGCAGUAAUGUCCUACCUUAGUACUAGUGUAGGUAAGCAGUUGUUGUAGAGUGGAAGGGGCGGGACUAUGUAGAAAGAAUUGGUUGGUGGAUGGUGACGAGAUGAGGAGGUGAGCAAAACAUGUUGUAUAAUUAUCUAGCCCACAACAAGUUCAUAUGAGUAAAUUGUUGGAGGGUGUGAGUUUGAUGGAAGUAUGUGUCACCAAUUGUUUUGCAUGCAGUACGUAUAUAUAGCCUAUGUUAUGAAGAUUACAAGGUUCAGUAUAACAAGGGUGGGGGAGGUUUAUGAGGAUGCAACAGGGGCUGAACAGGGGUCUAGAAGCAUAACUACUCAAGUUGCUAGUGUGGUGUAUGUUUUGCUAAAGGUAAGAUAUUGAAUAUGGUGCAGGUCCUUAUUUGGGGUCUUGGGAUGGAAUGGGUGUAAGUAUUAUGACCAAUGAUCUAUUGUUGUAAUAAUAGUAAGGUGAAGUCCUCUGGUGAUUUUGUUGAAUGCUAAGUGUUGAUUUGGGAUCACAUUAUGGUGUUUAAGCGGUUUAUAACGGGUCAAGUAGAAAAGAGUGUAUGUGUGGUUUAGUUACAACAGGUUAGCAGAAAUGAGAUUAAAGUUGUCAAAGGUUUUUUUUAGGGUAAGGGAGUUAUCCCUAAUCACAAGUCUUGUGAUUAUCUUGUUGGACGGUAAGGCCUUAUGAUGGAAGAGAGUCUUCUGUGAGAGGUAGGAGCCAAUUUUAUUUUUUUAUCAACAAUAAAUGAAUAAAAUUAAGGGAAUACUAAGGGGUAUCCCAACCCGUAUACUACAUCCACAAAGUUACACUUCCACAAACGAAAGUAUAACCCAAAAAGCCUAAGCCUACAAAAGGGAAUGCCAAACCCAAACCAGCACUUACGAGAGAACCAAAAUGGCAGUAACAAUAAAAACAGCACCCAAAACCCAACUGCACUCCCAAGAGCAGCACUUAGCAGACUCCACAGCAACACCUACAAAAAAAACUAGCACUCUUCACCAAUUUCCAAGCUGUUCCCCAACCGGCACCCUUUGAAUCACACCUCUCCACUUGAAACCUUCGAUCCUUCACCGACCCUCCCCUACACAUACGUAUAAUAGCAGUCCAACCAGCCACCAGUCCACCUUACACGUAACCCGGCUUAACACUUUGGUUAUUCAUUACCACGACUUCACAUUCCUCAACCAAGCUAACUCUACCCUUGAAAAGCAUGGCUCAAACCCAACCUCAGCUCCCCUCCAAAGCAUCCAACCUUGAUCUAAGCACGCCCCGUGACUCCAGAACUGCAGAAGACCACCCUGCCACAACAAAACAGUUGUUCCCGUGUUAUGACUCCUUUAUGUAGAUGCUUCAUGUUCCUGCAAAAAAUUAUUGAAGACCAACCCCAAUACAGGUAACAACAGCUAACCCCUAAGGGAUUCACUCCUUCACCAUCACAGGUUCCAUCCGAACCACAACCUUCACAUGAUACCAACCAGAAAUACCAGCUUCUUCAGAAGACACAAAACCAGGAAACAUUAGCAGCUUUUAAUACAGAUAAUUGGGUUAAAAACCCAAUCUGUAAAAGAGUAAGAAAACUAACGGGCUUUAUGCUUCAGCCACAACCAAGACUUAAGUUGGGCCCUCUGGAAAACCUCCUUUGCAUCUACUACCCCUUGCUGAAAGGUAAUCAGAUUCCUCUGGUCCCAUAUACUUCUAAUAACAUUUACCCAGACCCCUUUCCAAAUCUUAUUCUGCUUGUUACUAACUUGAAACAAGUGGGAACUUAGGAAAUGUCGCUUAAGAUCAUGAUGCUCAACAAAAGAAAUGCCUACCCACUGGAGGCAUUGGGACCAUACCUGUUGAGCAUAUUUACAAUCCAUGAAAAGAUGUUGACAGGUCUCUUCCUGUAGCAGACACAAGGGACACACUGUCGAGUUCAACAUCAUCCCUCUCCGACUCAAGCUCACUCUAGUGGGGAUUCUCCCCUUAAACACCCUCCAGGCUGUUACCAAAACAUUUGGAAAAGCCUUCACCUUCCACAGGAGCUUAAACACUUCGUCAUUGUUCCCUCUACCAUGCUUAGAUAGACACUACGCUGAGCUCACCGAAAACAGCCCCGGUAUCUCCUUUCCCCAAACCUGGUUAUCCUGGACAUUCUUUCUCAUAAUGACCCUUGAUAGAAUCAGAAUAAGGUCCCUCUCCAGAGAAGAUUCCCAUACAAAUCUGUCGCGCCUCCACCUCAUCAAGUCCCACCUCCACACCGUAUCAUCCCAUACACCCAUCUCCCCCACUACUUUACCUUGGUUUAAAGAUAAAGAGUAUAAGCGCGGGAACAAGAACUUAAGAUCGACACUACCAAUCCAUACAUCCUCCCAGAACUUUGCUUUAUCACCACAACCUACUUUCCAACCUAGCUCUCCCUGAAACCACCCUCUUCCUCCACCAACCUUGCACACUUUAGCGAGGUCUCUCCACCACCAAGAUUGAUAGAGGUAGGAGCCAAUAAUAGUUUUAUGGUAUUUGUGGUCCUUCACCUCUCAUAUGUAAUCAACCUUGUUUAUGGUGUUGUUUCAGUUUGUUUGGAUAAAGCAAGGGUUAUGGGGUUUGAGGGUUCAAGAUUCUAAGCUAUAUGGUGGGUCACAUAGUUGGAAUUGUUGAAUUCAUAAGUCUUGUCAGGUUUGUGUAAGAAUUGUUUAAUUUCAUUACUUGUAAUUUAUACUAAAAGAAAAUUCCCUACUAAAUCUUAAAUUAGUUAUAAGUGUAUAUCUGUCGUUUUAGAAGACUUUCUGUGAAUUUGAUCCUGAUCCAAAUAUUUUACUUUGUAUUUCUGAUUAUAUCACAUUAUGAACACAAUAUAGGAAUUCCCUUUACUUAUUAGAAUAUUCAAUAGUGUAAAUAUCAUAAAUAUUUUGAUUGUAUUCUCUAGUGAGAAUUAAGAUUUCAUUUUAAUAAUUUAAUGUGAAAUACCUAUAAGAUAUACAUUUUGUUAAAUUACUUAAGAUGACUUUAAUUAUUUACAAUAGAUUUCAUUUAACUCAAAAAAAUAAAUUUUAUUUUUUUAAAAUAUGUUUGUAAUCUCUAUAAAAAAAUUAUUAAUUUUGAAUGUAACAGGGCUUACUCCAUAGUUUAUUAUUCUAUUAUUACAUUAUUGAUUCUGUUGUUAUUUUUACCUAUUAAUAAAUACUAUAUGUGUAUUUUAUACAAACGAUAUUAAUCUCAUAUUUAGUUUCUUUAUUUUUAACAAGGAUUAAGAUUCAAAAAAAUUUUAACCCACUCUUCACCAUCAGCCGCCACCCACUGCCGCCAUAGCAGUCGCCGGAGAUAUUUUAAUGUCAUUAUUUUCUCAAGAAUUAGUGAAGUAAAAUUCUAAAUUUAAUUGAAAAAAAAAAUAAAAUAAAAAUAAUAUAUAUAUAUAAAAUAUGCAUACAAUUUCAUCUAAAACUUUCUCUAAAAUAAAUUAUAUAUAUAAUUAUGAUCAGCUUAGUUUGAAUGCAAAUUUGAUAUUUAUUUAUAGUUGUCCACAUCUUUGUAAUAAGUCAUUGGUCGGCAAUGACAUCUCAGAAUUGCAAUCACUGUAAUCUGCAUUUUUUAGGAUAAACUUGUUUGAAAACCAAACAUAGUAGCAAGGCAUGAAUGAGUAAGAAAUUGGGUGACCUUUUGGAGUUGAAUUCUGCAGUAGCUGACCUUCAAGUAAGCGCUUUUUGGAUACAUAGUACUGCGCUUAUGUACAAGCUGAUAUCAUGAAAAGCAUUUUUGGAAUGUAAUAUAGUGUAUGUUUAGACAUGGCAACAACUUUUUAUCGGUCAGACUCAUCUAGCAUCUCCACUUUUGUGUAUUCUCAAAGGCUUCAUUUAACUCAUUUAUUCUUUGCUAAUAAAAAAGGAGAUACAAUAGUUUCUUCCAUAAUUCAACCUUAGGACAAGGUUCUUUGUAUGAGAGGAAAUAUUGUAACGUGUAAGAAAAAUGGGAGCAUAAGAAAUGCUAAGAUAGAGGUAACGGGAAAAGUAGAUGCCCCAAAACAUCACAUGACACGCGAUCAACAAGGAAAGGGACAACAGAAAAGCACGAGAGAUAAGAGAGAGAAUGGAUUUUUAAAGGACUAUAUUUGAAAUAUUUGUUGUUACUGAAUGAGGUACUAUGAUGCAAGCUUAAUCAACUUGAUCGUGGAUGUUGCUAUGAAAUUUUCUCUUCUUUAAUGCACUGAGACAUUGAUCCUUUAUGAUCAUAUCAUAUUUGUAAACAACCACGUUAUACAACCAUACAAAUUCUAUACCAUAUAUAGUGUAUUCUUCACAUUAUCACAGCAUUUAAAGAAAAAGAAAAAUAAUAAUAACACUGGUUUUUCUCAAAUCCAACAACAUAGAUUCAAACAAGUGAGUGAAUGAAGCAUUAUACAAAUAUCUCUGUGCAAAGGUAGGAAGAGAGUAAAAGCUCUUGUGUGCGUUGCUUAUUCAUUUCAUUCACUCUUUUUUUCCAUCAUCUAAAACACUUUAUCAAGUUAUUUUACCUAGCGAGAGGUAUGAGUUGGGCGCUGAAAUCCAGAUUGACCGGUUCAAUUGACUCUGCACUACUGUUAGGUUUUGUUCGAGCUAAUUCAGUUGCUAAGGUCUCCUUUAGUUCAAACACUACCACACUCAUAAUUGGUCUUUGGUUGGGACGUAGAGAAACACAAGCCAUUGCUAUUUCCACGGCUUUCCAGGCUGAGUUAAUGUCAAAAUCUCCUUCUAACCUUGAGUCAACAAUGGCCUUGAUAUCCCCUAUUGCAACCAGGGAUCUAACCCAUUCAAUUAUGUUACUCCUUUCUUCGUUCCUUGCUAUUACUUGCUGGCCUGUGAUUAUUUCCAGAAGAACCACUCCAAAGCUAUAAACAUCACUUUUUUCUGUUAAUCUAUUGUUUGUGUAAUAGCUGCAAUGAAUGCAAGACAUAUCAUGAAACUCAAUAUAUUUUCUGCCAGUGUAUGUGGUGAUAUCUCAAAAUCUCAGAAAUUAAUGGAUGGACAGUAAUUCAAGUUCUUACUCAGGGUCCAGGUAACCAGGAGUUCCAGCGACAACCGUUGACAAAUGUGAUGCCCCAUCAUCUGGGAUAAUUUUGGAUAGACCAAAAUCAGAUAACUUCGCUUGGAAGUGUUCAUUCAACAAGAUGUUUGAAGAUNNNNNNNNNNNNNNNNNNNNNNNNNNNNNNNNNNNNNNNNNNNNNNNNNNNNNNNNNNNNNNNNNNNNNNNNNNNNNNNNNNNNNNNNNNNNNNNNNNNNAUACUCCAAUCCUAUAUUAGAUUUAUGGAAAAUACAUUAACAAAACUGUCAAAACGCAUAAUCUGAAGUUGCUUUUCUUACCCAAGGCUGCGUCCACUGCUAUACGCAGUCUGUCUUCCCAGCUCAAGAAUUUUGAUUUACUGUGUGUACCUGCAAGAACAAACUCAGUAACUUUCAUACAAUUUGUACAGUUGAGCAAUAUGAAAAUUUCCAUAUCCAGAAUUUUGGAAUACAAAACUAACUAGGAAAUUGAUUUGCACAAACUUUUAACAAGACCUUCAUUUUAUUUGGGAACUAACCAGAGAGAUGUUCCAGUAAGUUUCCAUUGGCCAUGUACUCAUAUAUGAGACUCUUAUUGCUUCCUUCAUCACAAUAACCGAUAAGGGAAGUCAGAUUUUUAUGAUGAACUCUCAGUAGAAGUGUAACCUGAAAAAUCAAACCACUACCAUGUUUAGCCAUAUAUACUCAUUACUCAGCUCAAAAACCAAGUGCAAAGCGAUUAAAACUUACCUCUGCUUGAAAUUGUUCAUAACCACGGAAUGAUGAAGGGGAAAGAAUUUUGACAGCAACUGGAGUGUCAUAAAUAUAGCCCAGAUAAACUGUUCCAAAUCCUCCCCUACCAACAAUUGUAUUGAAAUUGUUGGUAAUUUUACAGAUGUCGGAGUGUGAACAUAUUUGUUUUUUAGACUGCUUUAAUGAAUCCUCUUGUUUUGUGUGCUGCUCGGAUAUCUCACUUUGAUCCUUUUCUACCAUGGAAGCUGUUAGAUAUUGUACAAUAGUUUGGAAAUGUCAGUUAAGAUUGAAUUUGUUUGGCAAAUUAUAAAAAAAUUAUGAAUGAUUUCAUCAUUGUAGCUUCACCUUUUGAUUUUCUCCUCCUAAGGAUCCACAAUAUAGCUGUCACGGUCCCCAGAAGGAUCAAACCCCCGCAGAUUGAUGCUACCAAGGGUAUAACAAUGUUAUUUCUGUGCUUUCUGUGCUCGAUGCAUUGACCAUGUUCACAGAUAUGUGGAUUUUGACCCAAACUGCAUGGAAAUCACAGAAGAUUUAUGUUCAAAAGUUUAAGCAACCUUGCAAGUAGAGUGAAAAUUAAUCAUGUCAACACUGGCUCUGAUAAAUCUGAGUUUGAUCACCCUUAAAAACAUAAUAUCUAAUUUUAAUCUAUGACUUGUUUUCAUAAAAAAGUUUGGUUUGGUCAAUAAGUACAUUUAAAAGUUUAUUUUAUUUUAUUUUAUCAACAAAAAAUGAAUGAAUAAAUAAGAGAUAUUUCAAGGAUACAUCAAUCCUUAUACAAAAGACCUACCUGAUGCUGAUAUCCUCUAUGCACCUUACAACAAUUGAAUAACCUAAAUGCAAACACCUUUUACUGAUGAUAAAUAUCUCCUAGAAAAGUUUAUUUCAUUUAAGACUUCCAAAAGAUUAAGUUAAAUACAAAUGAAUAAUCUCUCUUUCAAACACGUAUCGUCGUUACUUUAAGCAACCUUGUUAUGAAUUUGAGUAGUUUGAGUAAGAUUCAUAUACCUUAGGGUGAGAGAACCUUCCUUAGAUUUUUCAACAAGUGCCGAGGGAAUUGAACCGGAGAGGUUAUUCUUCUCCAAGUUUCUGCCAAAAAACGAAGAAAUAAUCCUUUAGUCUUUUCUGGUGCAGUGGAUAACAUAGUUUCAAGUAAUUGAGCAAGUGACUUACAAGAUCUUCAAGUGUUGUAAUUGAGACAGAAAAUCGGGAACCUCAUCGUUUAAGCUAUUAUUCGAUAAAUCCCUACAAAUUUAACAAACAAUUUAGCCUUUUUAAGUAUGUUUAAAUCUUGACUCAUGUGGCGAAAGAUAUUAAGUACAUACGAAAGAACAAAUUUCACUCAUUUGUUUUGCGAAUGCAGAGUUGCUUGGUUAAUUUGGAAUCUUUGUUAUGAUUGGUUAGGAGUAAGAUCUGUCGAUUUUAUGGAUCCUAGGUCUCAUUUUGAACAUUUCAAGAUUUUGGAUGCACCCACUUCAGUUAAUCUUAUUAUGGGUAAUGUGUGGAUAGCAUUGAUUAGUGAAAUUUGGAGGCAUAGGAACAACUGUUUAUUUAAAGGUAGAGUGGUUGACCACAUUGAGGUGUUCUCUUUGGCACAAAUUAAGGUUUGGUCCUGGAUCCCUUCAAAGGUACCGUCAGCUAAUUUCUCAUUCUCUGAUUGGUGUCUUGAACCUUUGGUUUGUAUGCAUUCAAUUUAGUUUUGAUAUGAGGAUUGAUCUUUGUUAUUCUUUGUUAUUUUGAUAGAGAUGGGUUUGACUGUAGGAGGUUUUGUUGGCUGAUUUGUAGUUAGAAAGGUAAUUUGUGAACAUCAUUUUACUGUAUAAGGGUUGGAUCACCCCUGAAGUGAUUCCUUUUAAUUUCAUUGCUAUUUGCUGAUAAAAAAAAACAUACGAAAGAACAAAAAGAAUUAAAACAAGAGAUUUGUCUGGUCUCAUGUAUUUCUGGAUGGGAUGAAAUAAAAGAAAAAACAAAAAAACUCACAGCUUCUCCAACAUGGUGAGCUUUGAGAUUGAAGGGUCUAUCUUUCCUGACAAUCCACUCGAAGAUAAAUUCCUGUUUUGCUCAAUCAAUAGUUAUAGUUAUGUCCGAUAUCAUCUCAGUUUUAUAAAGCAAUAAUAGAAAUUUGGGCUACAAAACUUACAAAGUUGUGAUUCUUGGGACCUCAUCGUCGCCAUAAGUACAGUUCAAACCAUCCCACAAGUAGGCUGCAGGGGCGCAUGGAUCACCUUGCCAAUCUCUUUUCACUCCAUAAACGGACUUGAUGCUUGUAAUGGCAUCAACUUUUUUUCAAAUGCAAAAGAGGAAAAGAAGGUAGUUAAGUUCGUGUACAAUAGUGAAAACCCAGUAAAUGGAUUUAAUAAAUAUAAGAUACCAUCUCCUUGGAAUGUUUCUGGUUUCUGUAAGUCGAUUACUGUGUAAACUUCAAGGGCACUGAUGAUGGGAGGCAGGGUUGAAUUUCCGGUCCUCACGAAUUCAAUUUCUUUCUCACUGAUGGCUGAAGAGGUAUAUAAAGUGUCAACAGCCAGGUAUCGCGGAGAAAAAUUUGGAAUCCAUAGUUCACCGUUCCUCAUGAUGUUGAAUUGUCUUGUCUGAUUGGUGGUUAACACUUGAAUCUCUGUGAAGUGCAUGUAAACAUAGAAUUCAUCAGUUUCAUGAUUUUGCCCCCAGCUUAUAGACAACGGAUCACUAGCAUUUGUUGGUGUAACUGCGGUCCUCAUGAUAGUAGCUCGGAGUUGGUAAUCGCCCUUAUCUAAAGAAUCAUCAGAAAUUGAACCACUUAGGUUUGUCCAAUCUUCGAAGGGUUCAAGGAUGUACCACAAACGAUCAUAAACAUCAGUCGGAUACCUGUGAGAAAAUCAGAAUAAAUCCAAUAAUCAAUCAAUCAAUCUUAUAAGGCAACAGAUUUGAUCCAUAAGUAUGAUUUCACCUGUAGAUUAUGUCUGAACCAAAAUCGUUACGCAGGUAAAGUUUCAGUGAUCCAUAUUGAGUGACGUAUGUAUGAUUUUUCAAAGUCCUGAAUUCUAUGGUUGUUAUAAAUGGUGUGCCAUGGCCUGUGUCAACCAGACAGAUUUGUACAUAAUCCAGUGAAGGUACGUGUAUGAUCUCCUCUAAUUGGGGAUUGGAUGCAUUGUUUAUAUUAACUGUAGCCCACUUGUUAGCUCCCAGAAGAAGAUCAAAAUGUGGUAGCAUAUUUCGGCCAUCAUAAUUUCCAUACAGAAAAGUAGUGCGGAUGAGAUACUUAGAGCCUCUUGUGACGUUUAUUUUGUAGCAGUUCCUUUUUCCUUCCGGGAAGCUUCUCAGCCUCCUCAGUAGUUGUAUAGUGCUGAUCUCAGAUGAUAUUGUCUCUCUCACACCACUAUUUAUGAUAUUUGCAUCCGAAACAUAAUUUAUGUGUGUUGAUGUGUCGGUAUAGUUCACACCUCCGCAAUCUAUGCUGAUGAAUCCUAAAACAUAAAAUUGAAUAUAUUACUGUUAAAGUUGCUACAAAGAGAAAGUGAGUGAAGUCUUUCUUUGCUUGAAGGGAUAAAAGGUCACUAAACCAACAUGAGUUUACUUAAGUAAUGUGCACCUCAUGAUACUUUGGACUAGUCCGACUAGUAAAUAUGGAGAUUUACAAAAUUUAUUUUUUUUUAUUUUUUUUAAUUAAACAAAUUUUAUUUUUAUUCUUUUUCUCUUUUUGUCUGUCUUCUUUUCUAUUAUUUUAGCACAGAAAAUAAUGAUAAAUGGUUGGUGUUUUGGUGUAACGAACCUGGUUGAGCAUGAGCAUGAAAAAGUAGAACAGCUAAAAGAGCAACGUAGAAAGGGAUCCACAUUGACUUAGACGACCUAGUCAACCUGUGAGCUUUUGAGGAAUUACAAACACUUUUUAGCUUUAAUUUCUCUAUACGUGUUUAAUUCUGCAAUCUGCAUCAUACAAAUAAUACUACUUAAUUCACCCAUCAAUCAACCUAAAUUCAAAUAAAAUCUGUAAUUUAAUUUUUUUAAAAACAGUUAGCAUAAAAGACUGAAUAUUAUCACAAAAACUGCAAGAUUGCUAUAUGCUACAAAAAAGAGAAAAAUAUGCAUACAAAAAAUAGCAGCAUCACUGAGGAAUAAUCUUUUUAAUUGGUUAAUGACCAUGUAUAAAAAUUAGUAUAUAUAUCCAACUAUAUUAACAUACUGAUCACUGUAAACCAGAAGAAGUAGUGAAUCUUAUUCUCUACUUGUAAUUUUUUGGUCUCAUGUUACUAUUGCAUAUGUGAAACUUAGGUGAUAAAUCAUGUUACCUUUGUCAAACUCACACGUACUUUCAGUUUAAUAACAGUAAUUUGAAGAUUAUGAGUAUACCAUAUAAAAAUAUAUUAGAAAAGAAACAUAAAAGAGAGGAGACCAACAAAUGCAUGCAUUUAAGAAAAAGAAAACAAUAUCCUAGUUACCACUGCAGAAACAUAUAUAUAUAUAUAUAUAUAUGUAUAUAUCGGAAGUUAUGAAUCAACAUAAGGCACAAAUAGAAAGACACCGUGUAAUUGCUUGGGAAGGUGUUUCUCUGCUGCUACUGUGAUAUCUCUCCAAGGUAGGUUUUUGGUGGAUGAAUAAUGGAGAUGGAAAGUAGUUUAUAAUAUGGUUAUAUAUGAUGAAAAGUAUUUGACAUGCCAAGGUUUGUCCUUACAGUACAAGCCAAUGUGGAAUAAUUGCAGUGGUAGAAGCCAAUGUGGAAUAGUUGCAGUGGUAGAACCCUAAGCCAAUGACCUUGACUUACUUUCAAAUACAAAACAAAAACUAACCUUUCUUUCUUUCUUUCCUUCCAACUUCCACAACCACACAUCUUACCACUUAUAAUUAUUAUUGGAAAAAAAAAUACUGCAACUCACAAAUGAGAAAAUUGAGAAAGAGAUUCUAAUAUAUUACUUGUUGUUUCUAGAAGAUGAAGUUGUUUAAUGGAGGAUUUUUUUUAUAAGAAAAGAUAAAUUAAAUGGGGAUAUUUCACACUUUUUCAAUUUGCCAACACCCCAAACACCAAAAAAAACCCUACAAAAUAUUCACACACAAAAAACACUACCUACAUUAAUCCUACUUUCACAUAGUUAGGAACUAAACUCUGUAAAAAACAAAAGUCCAAAUUUCAUAAUACACAUAAAAACAGCUUUACCCAUACAGUCAUUGAUGAUCCUACCUACCUUGUAUUCUAUCUUACCACAUAGUGCUUGAAUUGAUAUGCAUUACCAAACAAAAAGCCUGCAUUUUAGAUAGUUGUUUCUAUGGCUAGUUUCCACACCUAUACCUGACUAGUCAAUUGUCUCCUGUGACCGUUGGCAUGGUCACAGUAAGAACCCUUUCCAAAUACAAAACCAUCUUCAUUCCCUCUUCCUUACAUCCAAUUGUCUACUCUACGGUUUCCAAGUAAUCCAUUUACAUAACAUUUGCUGCAGAUUCUGCAAUCUCUGCAUCUCUUCAUUCCCUCUUCAGGGGCUUUUUCAGUGAAGUCUGCCUAUGCAUGGUUGUCUAACCAAGAUUCUGGCACUAGGGUAGGUAUCUUUAAAAUGUUAUGGCAAACAAUAGCAACGCCAAGAGCCCAAACAACUGCGUGGAGGAUCCUGUUAGAUAGACUCCCCACAAAAAACAAUCUCAUUCGGAGAGGUGUUAUUAUUAGCUCGCCAUUAUGCGUGUUCUGCCAAGCCACGGACGAGUCAACCCAAGACUUGUUCUGCGAGUGCGCACAUACUCAGCGAGUUUGGUCUCUCUGUUAUAAAUGGAUAGGUGUAGUGCUGGCACAACAUAAUGAGCUGAAGUGUCACUUUGAGACUUUUCACCUCAUGCAAUUCACCUCUAAGCAGAAUCAACUCUGGAAAAGCAUGUGGGUGGCAAUAGUUAGGUGUAUAUUGGAUCAAAGAAAUAAUAUCAUUUUUAAGCAGGGAGUUCCAGAUGCAGAAGAAAUUUUUCACUCAGCGCAACUAGUCUCCUGGCUGUGGUUGAAGCAUAAGAUAAAACUCUUUACUUUUGCCCUGUCUGAUUGGAUCCUAAAUCCUAACCAGUGCAUACGAAGCGUGGAUUGAAAGGAAGGGAUGCUGGGAGCCCUCUCGGGUGCUAAGGGGGGAGUACGGUUGGAGGUGGAACAUACUGGUCUGUCAGUUGGCCUAAUAGGACUCCGGUCUGUAGGCAAUGGAGGUAGGAGGAAUGGCGGUUGGAUGUAGUAGCUGUUGGACAACGAAAUCUUGCUUUUGGGCGAUAUGAGCGAGAUUGGCAAUGUCCAGAACUUCAUAGUUGGGGAUUAGGUGGUCUGAUCAGUUGGUUCCGAGGCCCUGGUGGAGCAGUUUUAUUGGGUUUCUUUUUCAGGUUUUGGGUACAGUGAGGCAUUACAGGAGGACUGGAUACCCCCGUGGCUGGUCUGGAUAACUGAAGGUUCGUGAAGCAUGUUUGGUGCCACGAAAAGCUAGGACACAACUGCAGCCUUAUUGUUUUUGCUGCUAAGGAAAUAGGUCAUAGUGGAAUAGGGGUUAGUGUUUUCACGGGAUGGUUAUAUACGCUUCUGUUUCACCUGCGGGGUCAAUAAGGUGUGGCAUGGGUGUGAUUCUUGUUGGAAUGGGGCAGUGGGAUCUAAUUCAGAGAGCCAUAAUGAAAAGCAUGUUAGUCACUGGGUAGUGGAAGGAACGUGUAGCAAUGCUGUCAUGGGUAUAACAGGCCAAUGUCUUUACGUGGCAGUAGUAGAGAUCACACUCUGGUACAAAACUGUGUAAUUUCGCCACUUCCAUGGUGAAAAAAAAAGGGGUUUAACUACUGUUUAGACCUCCUCUGUGCACUUGGCCACAAUAACUAGAAUGUUUGUAUAGUGGUCAUUUUCUGUAUAAGGGUUGAAACAAUCCUGAAGUGUCUCUCUUAAUUUCAUUUUAUUAUUUGCUGAUAAAAAAAAAUCUCUUCCUGCCAGCUCCUCUAUACUCCAAGAUUUUUUUUGAUAUAGUAUGACCAUGCCAGGACCAAUAGAUUCAGAUUUUACUAAAAAGACACUACAAAAGAAAAAUAUUAAAUAAAAAUUAAUUUUAGAGACAAAAAAUAAUUAGUUAUUAUAGUGACUAAAUUAAUAUUAUUUUAAAAAUUAAAAAAAUUAUUAAUUUCUAAAUUAGUUUCUAAUUGAUAAAUAGUUUUUAAUUUAGUAUCUAAUUAGUUACCAAGAUUUUAAUUACUUAUUAUUUAGAUUCUAAAUUUAGUAGCAAAAAAUUAGUAACUAACUAGAUACUAAUUUAAAAACUAUUUAUCAAUAAUAGAAAUAAAUUUAGAGACUAAUAAAUUUUUUUGUCUUUAAAAUAGUAUCUAAUUUAGUCCCUAUAACAAUUAAUUAUUUUUUAUCUCUAAAAUUAGUUUUUAUUUAAUGAUUUUUUUUAGUGAGACAACAACAUUCGCCUUAUGUAAAACAAAAAGAAUAGGAGUAAGAUAACAAAAAAUACAGUGCCUAAGCAUAUUAAAAUAUAAGAUAAGAUGGUUGUGCUUAAAUUUUACAAAAAGAGGAUUAGCCUAGAUCUUAGAAUUAGAAACAAAUAAAAAUAGAAGGGUAAGUUACAAUCGUUUUGAAAGGAUUUUUUUCUUUAUUGGCAAAAAAUAUAAUAAAUAAAUAAAAGGGAUAUUUCAGGUAUCCCAAGAAGUCAUAUAUAUACAAGUAGCAAAGAGACUCUCAUCUCUAUAGAAUUAAUUUUUUUAAACAUUUCUUCUAUACAAAAAUGCUAAUUCUAACCAUUUACAGCAAUUACAUCAGCUGCAAAGCCAGAUAGACCCGAUAGACCCCUGACUUACAAUAAUUUGGCAAUGAAUGCUGAAGAAUUGUUUUAAAGGAUUUUGUUAAUUGGUUACUGAAACAAUAAAAUAUAUUAAUUGUUAUUUUUAUAAGAAAGAAGUUGCUGACAAAUUUGAAUAUUUCAUUAAUCUUUGUUGAUCGAUUCUAUUUAAAAAAAUGGAGUCUGAAAAUUCCCUCAUUUUAUAGUUCCAAUUUCACACUAAUUUAUGUAUCAUAAUAAUGAUAAUUAAUGAUAGUAUUUGUUUUAUUUUUUAUUUUCACGAUACACAUAAUUUGGUACGCUAAGGUGUAUAUUAAAAGUAUAUUAUAUUAAGAAUAUUGCUUCAAAUUAUUAAAUGUAAAUGCUUGAAGAAUGAACAUUAAUACUCGCUAAUUAAAUGUGCAGUAAUAUAAGUCUUCUGCAGGUUAACGCGCGUAAAUAUAUGCCCUAUAUUUAACGACGUACACGUAUAUAACUGAUCACAAUAAACUAAUUAAUUCAAAUUUUACAAACUUUAUAAAUUAUUUCUAUAUUACAAAUUCAUUAAAUAGAAGGAAAAUGACGAAAAGGGGCCUCCUUUAAAAAUAGAAAGAAUAAGGAAAUGUGUGGUGUGAGGUCAUGAGAGAAAUAGGAUAUUAAAAAAAAUUAAAAAGAACAAAACAGACAUUUGACAUUUUAUAUGCAGGUGGAGGGAGAACCAUGGAAGUGCAGGGAGAAUGAGCUCUUUUUUUUUUUCUUUCACUGCAUAUAAUCUCAUCACUGAUUAAAUGGGAUGGGUUAACAUUUUAAUUUGGACAAUUUCUUCAUGUACCCCCAUAAAAAACGCUAAAUAACAACUUUAUUCUUUUCUUCAUUUUUUCAUUAAUAUCUUUCCUUUUUUGGAUUUUGAAAUUUCAAAUUCUAGAAUUUGAAAUACAAAAUUAUAUUCCAAAUUUUAAAAGUUGAAAUAUAUUUUUUUAAUUUGAAAAUACCUUCCGAACUGUAUUAAUGUAUCUUCUGCAUUUCAAAUUCUAAAAUUCAUAAGAUAUUUUAAUUUUAGAAUAUAAUUUUGUAUUUCAAAUUCUAGAAAUUCGAAAGAUCUACAGAUUAUAUAAUUUGAAAAUGAGAAAAAAAUAAUUUCUACCUUUUAUUUAAAGAUUAUUUUGGAAUUGAAAAAUGGUAUGAAGAUGAUUGAAGAAAAUAGGAGGUGAAGAAAGAAAUUUACUUUAAUUUGUUUGAUUAUGGCAUUCUUUAAAUUGACAUGUCACUACAAGAAAAUCAUGAAAUAGAAACCAAUUUUUAGAAACCAAAAUAAUUAGUUGCAAUAGUAACUAAAUUAGAGACCAUUUUAGAAACUAAAUAAUUGGUAUCUAAAACCUUAGUUGCUAAUUAGAUACCAAUUUAGAAACUAUUUAACAAUAAUCGAAAAUAAUAGAAACUAAUUUAGAAACCAAUUUUUUUGUUAGUUUCUAAAACGGUCUCUAUUUUAGUUCCUAUUGUAACUAAUUAUUUUGGACUCUAAAAAUUGAUUUCUAUUUCAUGAUUUUCUUGUAGUGUGUUUGAUCGUUGAUAUGUAAUAUAUUAUAUUAUAUGAAAAAGGUGAUAUGAAAAGGAAUUCUUUACUAUUAUAACCAUAUUAUAAAUUUAUAUAUAAUUAAAAGAAUUUUAUUUACAUGAUUUAUAUAUGUUUUUUUUUCAAAAGAAAUAUCAAUUUAAGCAGAUUUUUUUUCUUUCAUUUGUCUCAUACUCACUCAUGGAAAUUUAAUACUGUGAUUUGAAGUGGACGCACAACAAACUGUUAAUUGAUCAUUUAAAGUUAUUUCUUUCUAUACAUAUGUCUACAAUUAAUUAGACACUGGACGUCUCACCAAUGUAUUCUGAUUUUUAUACAUAUUCUUAUUUACUAUUUCUAUUUAUUUAUUUAUUAUAAUAAUAGAUAAGUUUAUUACCAAAUCAGAACAUAAAGAUAUGGCUUAUUUAAAAGGUUUCAUUCUUAGCAAAACCAACUAGAAAAUAGCAAAUUAUGAGUAUGUAAGUUAAAUAAAUCAGAUAUUAUAUGCAUGUACCUUGUACAAAUCCAUAAAUAUUCUUUCAUAAGAAAAUAAUAAUUAAUAUAUAUUAGAUAAUAAUCUAGGAAUAAGCAUGUGAACAAACUAAUAAAUCGUAUAAUUCAAUUAAUCAUGACUAAAUACACUCAAUUUUAAGGUAAUAAAUUAAGGACAAAUCACAACUUCUAUGUCCUCUAGCUUAAAGAGUUUUGACAUUUUUUUUACCGAACUCUAUUAAUUUGUUUUGGAGUUGUAUAGGAGAAUUCUAAUAGAGUAUAAUAUAAAGUAAACAUAAAAUAUAUCCUAUUAUUAAAUCCUCAUAGAAAGAGAUUUAUAGUUCAUAAUGACUUUAUCAACUUGAAUAAAAUUAAUUUUUUAAAAUAUACUUGUAUUCUACGUGUCUUGCCACUUACUACUACUGAAAUCGGUUUUAAAAUAUACUUGCAUUCACAUUCUCAGCCUGUUCCGCAAGUUCUAAUUCAAUGGGAUUCUUUGGAUGUUUCGAAUAUACCAGUAAAUAGUUUCUGAAGUUUUUGUCAACAACAUUAUAUGGUGUACCUUGUUCUAUUGUCUCUGAUAUGGAUCGAAUCUUUAUUAGCUCAUUUCGGAAGCAUCUUUUCAAAGCUCAGGGUACUACACUUGCUAUGAGUUCUUCUUACCAUCCACAAUUGAAUGGCCAAACAGAUAUUUUGAAUAAAACCUUAGAACUGUAUCUUCACUGCUUUGUUUUUCAAAAUACUAAAGGGUGGUUGGUUUUGAUGUUGCAGGAAAAGUGCACGUAUAACAGGUUUACGUAAGUCUAGGAACCAUACAUCGUGGGUCUUGGAGGUGGAAGAGACUUCCUUGACGCUGAACCUUUGUUAACCAUUCCUGGACUUCUUUGUGGAACUGUAUUCUGCAGUCGGUUACCUUUUGGACUUGAAUUCUGCAGUAGCUGACCUUCAUGUAAGUACUUUUUUGGAUACAUAGUAAAGCGCUUAUGUACAAGCUAGUAUCAAGAACCAGUUUGGCAGUAGAUGCUUUUGAAAAGCUUUUUGGAAUGUAAUACAGUGUAUGUUUGGACAUGGCAGCAACUUUUUUGGGUCAGAGUCAUUUAGCCUCUCCUCUUUUGUGCAUAUGGAUUGGAGUAUCUCUUAAAUACUUCUUUCAUUCUAAUUUAUUCUUUGCUGAUAAAAGAAAAUGAGAUACAAGAGUUUUUUCCAUAAUUCAACUUGAGGACAAGGUUCCUUGUAACGUGUAAGAAAAAUGAGAGCAUAAAAAAUGCAAAGCUAGAGGUAACUGGGAAAAGUAGUUGCCCCAAAAAGAUCACAUGCCACGCAAUCAACAAGAGACAACAGAAAAGCAUGAGAGGUAACAGAGAGAAUGGAUUUUUAAAGGACUAUGUGCUCUAAGAGGGAUUAUUGUGUGGUGUGAUUCUUCUAUUUUCUCCUCUGUUCCUCUCUCUCCCUAUGGUUUCCAUUUCUUCUCUAUUUGAAAUAUUUGUUGUUACUGAAUGAGGUACUAUGAUCCAGGCUUAAUCAACUUGAUCGUGGAUGUUGUGAAUUUUUCUCUUCUUUAAUGCACUGAGACAUUAAUCCUUCAUGAUCAUAUCAUAUUUGUAAACAACCACGUUAUACAAUCAUACCAAUUUUAUACAAUAUAUAUAAACGAAGUGAAGGGCAUCUAGGUGGGGACCAUUGGUGUGAGGAGCCAAGCACUAAGCAAAGAAGCUUUUCAAAGCUAGAUUCAAAGCAACGAAAGAUUUAGGGGUAAGACUGGAUGAAGUUGAAUUCAAGUCGCUAUCUCCGACUGAUAACGAGGGUCUCCUAUCAUCUUUCUCUGAGAAAGAGAUUAGGGAUGCAGUGUGGCAGUGUGAAGGUACAAAAAGUUCGGGCCCAGAUGGUUAUAACUUCAACUUCAUCAAAAAGAAUUGGGAGUUGCUAAAAGAAGAUUUUGUGGCAGCGUUGUCCCUGUUUCAUGAGACGGGAUGUAUCCCUAAGGGCUGUAACGCCUCUUUCAUAGCUUUGGUUCCUAAAGUUAGGGACCCGUCCAAGCUCGAGCAAUAUAGACCCAUCUCAUUAGUUGGAGCUAUGUACAAGAUUAUUUCGAAGGUUUUAGCUAGUAGAAUGAAGAAGGUGUUGCCCUCUUUGAUAGAUGAAUGACAAUCAGCCUUUGUGAAAGGAAGAGGGAUCUUAGACAGUGUUCUUAUGGCCAAUGAAGUUGUUGAGGAUUUAAUGAGAAGUGGGAGAAGAGGGUUGUGCUUAAAAGUGGACUUCGAAAAAGCAUAUGACUCGGUUAGAUGGGCGUUCUUAUAUGAUAUGCUAUCCAGGAUGGGGUUUCACAACCUCUGGAUCGCAUGGAUUAAAGGAUGUCUGGAAUCCGCCACUGUGUCUGUGUUAGUCAAUGGGAGCCCUACGGAGGAAUUCAAGCCGACUAGAGGGUUAAGGCAAGGAGACCCACUUGCACCCUUCCUUUUCCUAGUUGUAGCUGAAGGCCUUGCUGGGAUAGUUAGAAGUGCUAACAAAACCACUUUACUGACGGGCCUCAAGUUUGGAAGGAAGGAGAUUGAGGUGUGCAUCCUCCAGUUUGCGGAUGACACUAUUUUUCUAUGUGAAGACUCCUUCAACAACGUGGUAACCUUGAAGGCCAUUCUAAGGGGGUUUGAAUUAGCCUCAGGGUUGAAGAUCAACUUCCAUAAGUCAAAGCUUGCAGGCAUCAAUGUUCAAAGUAGUGAUGUAGCAUGUUAUACAAAGACGUUGAACUGCAAACAAAUGGGAGUAUUGUUUAAAUAUCUGGGCCUUGAAGUAGGAGGUAACCCCAGGAAGAAGCAGUUCUGGGAUCCGGUCGUUAACAAGUUAAAAGUGAAGCUCAGUGUGUAGAAAGAGAGAUUUUUAUCCAUGGCAGAGAGAAUUUGUCUUAUCAACUCUGUCAUAUCUGCUAUACCUCUGUAUUAUCUCUCCCUUUUCAAAGCCCCUGACUCAGUCUGUAAGAGGAUUACCUCUAUCCAAAGGAGAUUCUUGUGGGGUUGGGGGAAAGAAAGCAAGCCAAUUUGUUGGGUUAGUUGGGAAGAUGUGUGCAAACCUAAAGAGGAUGGAGGAUUGGGUUUAAGAGAAAUACGAAAGUUAAACGCUGUAUCUCUCAAGAGGAGGGAAGGUGGAAGGAGUUAUUGGACUCAAAGUAUGGGUUGGAGCCUGGAAGCGUCCAUUCACUAGCCAAACUCCAAUCUUGGUGGUGGAAAGAUCUCUAUAAAGUGUGCAAGGAGGGAGGAGGAAAAGGAUGGUUUCAAGAAGAACUAAGCUGGAAACUAGGGUGUGGAGACAAAGUAAAGUUCUGGGAGGAGGUGUGGGUUGGGAGCUCUGAUCUCAAAUCCUUGUUUCCUAGACUGUUCUCCCUAUCCUUAAACUAGGGGCAAACAGUGGGUGAAGUUGGCGUGUGUAUUAAUUCGGAUUGGAGAUGGAGGCUGACAUGGAGGCGUGCCAGAUUUGAGUGGGAAUCAUCACUGGAAGCAGACCUCUUUACACUGCUAUCAGGGGCACAAAUGAGAAGGAAUGAUGUGGAUGUGCAGGUGUGGGGGAAAGAAGAACCAAGCCUUUUUUUCUGUGAAUUCUUCUUAUGAGUGCCUUGCCAAGCAGUCUCGUGGAACCCAAUCCGAUGUGUUUAAUUUUCUUUGGAAGACUAAGGCAUUCCCAAAUGUGAUCGUGACAGCUUGGAGAGUGCUGCUGGAUAGAAUCCCAACAAGGGUGAGUUUGAGUAGGAGAGGGGUGAUGAUGGAAUCUACGUUAUGUGCAAUGUGUCAGCUUAAGGAGGAGUCUUGUCAACAUAUCUUCUUGGAGUGUAAAUACGCACAAUGGGUAUGGUCUUUGUGCUUCAAAUGGAUAGGUAUCUCUUCUGUUCAACAGAAUGAUUUAAAUCUGCACUUUAUGAGUUUUUAUGGAAGCAAAACCUAGUAUGGAAAGGUGUUUGGGCAUAUGUUAUUAGGUGUAUCUGGAACCAAAGGAACUUGAUUGUAUUCAAAAAAGGGCUAGUAGUUGCGGAGGAGCUGUUUCAGAAGGCUCAACUCAAAUCCUGGCUUUGGAUGAAGCACAAGGUGCAUUCCUUUACUUAUUCUUUCGUAGACUGGAUUCUUAAUCCAAUGCUUUGCAUUAGAAGUUAUAAUUAGGACUCCCAAAUGCCAAGAGUUUUAAGACUACGGCCUAUACUGAAUUUAUAGUUGGUUGGAAGGGUUGGUGGGUCUGUCACGGCUUGCAGCUGGUGCAAGAUGAAAAGGUCAUAUGUGCUUGUAUGCAAGGGAGUCAAAAGGAAUGUUAAGGACAUGAUGGAGGAUUCUGUUUUGAUGUGUCUUAUAACAGACCAAUAGAGGUAGGGUGUAUGCUGGUUCAGGGUUCUUUUUGCAGGAAACAAAAACUGUAUUUUUAUGUGGUGUUUUGGUUGUUGUGGAAAUCCCUAAGUGUGUUUGCUGAUCAACUAGUGGUCUCACAUGUGGGUGGUAGCAGUAGAGGUUGUGGUGGGGAUUUAGACAUGUUGGGGGAUGUAAGUCGAAGUUGUAAACCCCAACCAAUCUAAGUGCGAGAUGGACCCUGGCAAGUAGGAAGUUGGUUUCUGAAAAAAGUGAGCUUAAAAGGAGCAAACAGGGGGAAGCCAAAGUCCAAAAAGGAACGAAUGGAAGUUGCUGCAUUGAAGUGAUUAAUUCUGUGACAAGUGCUACAAUCGUGCCACUGCAAGCUGGGAAGAAGGAAUGUCAAUGAGGUGGUGGAGAUAACCAAUAUUUUGGUGUAUUUUGAUUGUUUUGUAGCUGCAGUGCAGUUCUUAUACGAGCACGGUGCUAGCUGGAAUAGGAUGUCUAGCUUAUGCAGCAAACAUUAUCUAUCUAUUGCUUCUGGGGUGUUUGUUCAUCUCUUUAUUCUUGGAGAUUCUUAAUGUGAUUUGGUUUAUGUAAAAGGGUUGGGAUACCCCUUUUGUAUCCCUCUUAAUUUAAUUUCAUUCUUUACUGAUAAAAAAAAAAGUAUUCUUCACAAUAUCAAAGCAUUUAAGGAAAAAGAAAUAUAAUAAUAACACUGGUUUUUCUCAAAUCAUCCAUGUGGCCCUCAACAACAUAGAUUCAAACAAGUGAGUGAAUGAGGCAUUUAUACAAAUAUCUCUGCACAAAGGUAGGAAGAGAGUAAAAGUUGUUGUGUGCGUUGCUUAUUCAUUUCAUUCACUCUUUUUUUUCAUCAUCGAACACACUUUAUCAAGUUAUUUUACCUAGCGAGAGGUAUGAGUUGGGCGCUGAAAUCCAGAUUGACCGGUUCAAUUGACUCUGCACUACUGUUAGGUUUUGUUCGAGCUAAUUCAGUUGCUAAGGUCUCCUUUAGUUCAAACACUAUCACACUCAUAAUUGGUCUUUGGUUGGGACGUAGAGAAACACAAGCCAUUGCUAUUUCCACGGCUUUCCAGGCUGAGUUAAUGUCAAAAUCUCCUUCUAACCUUGAGUCAACAAUGGCCUUGAUAUCCCCUAUUGCAACCAGGGAUCUAACCCAUUCAAUUAUGUGACACCUUUCUUCGUUCCUUGCUAUUACUUGCUGGCCUGUGAUUAUUUCCAGAAGAACCACUCCAAAGCUAUAAACAUCACUUUUCUCUGUUAAUCUAUUGUUUGUGUAAUAGCUGCAAUGAAUGCAAGACAUAUCAUGAAACUCAAUAUAUUUUCUGCCAGUGUAUGUGGUGAUAUCUCAAAAUCUCAGAAAUUAAUGGAUGGACAGUAAUUCAAGUUCUU
rnacentral:lncRNA from 1 species